AGAGUUUGAUCCUGGNCUCAGAACGAACGCUGGCGGCAGGCUUAACACAUGCAAGUCGAACGCUCCGCAAGGAGAGUGGCAGACGGGUGAGUAACGCGUGGGAAUCUACCUAGUUCUACGGAACAACAGUUGGAAACGACUGCUAAUACCGUAUACGCCCUAAGGGGGAAAGAUUUAUCGGAAUUAGAUGAGCCCGCGNUAAGAUUAGCUAGUUGGUGGGGUAAUGGCCUACCAAGGCGACGAUCUUUAGCUGGUCUGAGAGGAUGAUCAGCCACACUGGGACUGAGACACGGCCCAGACUCCUACGGGAGGCAGCAGUGGGGAAUAUUGGACAAUGGGCGCAAGCCUGAUCCAGCCAUGCCGCGUGAGUGAUGAAGGCCUUAGGGUUGUAAAGCUCUUUCAGUGGGGGAGAUAAUGACGGUACCCACAGAAGAAGCCCCGGCUAACUUCGUGCCAGCAGCCGCGGUAAUACGAAGGGGGCUAGCGUUGUUCGGAUUUACUGGGCGUAAAGCGCACGUAGGCGGAUUGGUCAGUUAGGGGUGAAAUCCUGGAGCUCAACUCCAGAACUGCCUUUAAUACUGCCAGUUCUAGAGUCCGGAAGAGGUAAGUGGAACUCCUAGUGUAGAGGUGGAAUUCGUAGAUAUUAGGAAGAACACCAGUGGCGAAGGCGGCUUACUGGGUCCGGUACUGACGCUGAGGUGC
rnacentral:rRNA from 1 species